UUUCCGUAGGUGAACCUGCGGAAGGAUCAUUAAUAAUGGUCUACGUUUUUUAAGUAGACGCUAAUAAUCCUACCUUUGUAAUUUGUUGUUUUGAAAUAAUUUUUUUUAAAAUUAUGAUUGUCUUUCCUGUUGAAUUGUUGUCUUAAUGGCAAAUGAUUCGCAGGGAGUGUCAGUAAUUUUUAAAAAGACCUUUUUUAAAAUUAAACUUUUUUGUAUUCAUUUGUCUAAAAUUAUUUUAUAAUAUAAAAACAACUUUUGACAAUGGAUCUCUUGGUUCUCGCAACGAUGAAGAACGCAGCAAAUGCGAUAAGUAGUGUGAAUUGCAGAAUACGUGAAUCAUCGAAUCUUCGAACGCAUAUUGCACUUUUUUAGUUUACUAAAAAAGUAUGUCUGUUUGAGUAUCAGUAAAAUAUUCUCAUAAAAACUUUUUGUUUUUAUGGUUAUGAGUGUUUUACAACGAUACAAGUUGUUUCACUUAAUUUUUUUUAAAAUUUGAUUUUCUAAUUUUAAAAUAAAAUUGGAUAAAAUUUUCCCGUAAAAAAGGAAUAACCUAAACAAUUUUAAUUUUGAUUAGAAUUCUUCAAUUAUAAAGAAAAUUUAACUAAAUAACUUGAUCUCAAAUCAGAUAAGAGUACCCGCUGAACUAAGCAUAUCAAUAAGCGGAGAAAGAACUAACAGGAUUCCCUUAGUAACGCGAGUGAGCGGAAGAGCUCAAAUUUGAAAUCUUCAAGGUUUUACCUUGACGAAUUGUAGUUUAAAGAAGUUUUCUGUUGAAUUUUGGUAAAAUUCUUUGGAAUAGGACAUCAUAGAGGGUGAGAAUCCCGUAUUGACCAUUAUUUCAGCUGUGAUACACUUCAAAGAGUCGGAUUGUUUGGGAAUGCAGUCCAAAUGGUGUAAAUUUAUCUAAAGCUAAAUAUUGGCGAGAGACCGAUACGAACAAGUACGUGAGGGAAAGAUGAAAAGAACUUUGAAAAGAGAGUUAAACAGUACGUGAAAUUGUCAAAAGGGAAGCUUGACACCAGUUUGUUUUCUCGAAAAUCAAUUAAAAAAAGUUGGAUUUUUGUGUGUAUUGACCUUAACAGCUUGCUUCACUCUUUCUUGCUUUUUUUAAUCACUUUUCGUUUAACAAGUCAACAUCAGUUUCUUUUGUGUAAAAGUCAUUGAGGUGGCUUUCUCUUCGGAGAAAGUGUUUAUAGCUUUGAUCUCUGCAAUGGAGAGACUGAGGUCUGCAGCGUAGAUCCUUCGGGUUGAUACAUUUGUGCUAAGCUACAGCUUUUCAUAGACAACUGUUGACUAUGUUAGUCUUGUAACUACCCCUAUGCUAUUU
rnacentral:misc_RNA from 1 species